AGUGAACGCUGGCGGUAGGCCUAACACAUGCAAGUCGGACGGCCGCACAGUAAGAGCUUGCUCUUACGGGUGGCGAGUGGCGGACGGGUGACGAAUACAUCGGAAUCUACUUUUUCGUGGGCGAUAACGAAGGGAAACUUACGCUAAUACCGCAUACGACCUACGGGUGAAAGCAGGGGAUCUUCGGACCUUCCGCGAUUGAUUGAGCCGACGUCGGAUUAGCUAGUUGGAGCGGUAAAGGCCCACCAAGGCGACGACCCGUAGCUGCUCUGAGAGGAGACUCAGGCACAUUGGAACUGAGACUAGCUCCAGACUCCUACGGGAGGCAGCAGCCGGGAAUAUUGAACAAUGCGCGCAAGCCCGAACCAGGCCUACGGAGUGGGUGAGGAAGGCCCUUGGGUGGUAAAACCCUUUUGUUGGGAAAGAAAAGCAGCAUGCUUACACCCCGCUGUUCUGACGGUACCCAGAGAAAAAGCACCCGCUAACUUCGUG
rnacentral:rRNA from 1 species